GACGAACGCUGGCGGCGUGCCUAAUACAUGCAAGUCGAACGAACCGCGACUAAGUGCUUGCACUAAGUCAAGGUGAGUGGCGAACGGGUGAGUAACACGUGGGUAACCUACCUCAUAGUGGGGGAUAACAGUCGGAAACGACUGCUAAUACCGCAUAGGACAUAGGAUCACAUGAUCCAGUGAGGAAAGGUGGCGCAAGCUAUCGCUAAGAGAUGGACCCGCGGUGCAUUAGCUAGUUGGUAGGGUAAAGGCCUACCAAGGCGAUGAUGCAUAGCCGACCUGAGAGGGUGAUCGGCCACAUUGGGACUGAGACACAGCCCAAACUCCUACGGGAGGCAGCAGUAGGGAAUCUUCCGCAAUGGACGCAAGUCUGACGGAGCAACGCCGCGUGAGUGAAGAAGGUCUUCGGAUCGUAAAGCUCUGUUGUUAGAGAAGAACAGCGCAUAGAGUAACUGCUAUGCGUGUGACGGUAUCUAACCAGAAAGCCACGGCUAACUACGUG
rnacentral:rRNA from 1 species